GACGAACGCUGGCGGCGUGCCUAAUACAUGCAAGUAGGACGAGGUGCGAACGGGUGAGUAACGCGUAGGUAAAUACCUAUUAGAAGGGGAUAACUAGUGGAAACGAUCGCUAAUACCGCAUAAAGUAGAUGGAACUGAGUUGUAUUAGAUAGUAGGUAGGGUAAAGGCCUACCUAGGCAACGAUACAUAGCCGACCUGAUAGGUGGAUUGGCCACACUGGGCCUGAGACCCGGCCCAGACUCCUACGGGAGGCAGCAGUGGGGAAUAUUGCACAAUGGGCGCAAGCCUGAUGCAGCCAUGCCGCGUGUUGAGAAGGCCUUCGGGUUGUAAAGCACUUUCAGCGAGGAGGCGUUACUCGCAGAAGAAGCACCGGCUAACUCCGUGCCAGCAGCCGCGGUAAUAC
rnacentral:rRNA from 1 species